GGGUCAGUAGGUUGGUCGUGCCACCGGUACGUACUGGUCUCACUGAUUCCUCCUUCCUGAAGAACCGUAAUGCCAUUAAUGUGGUGUUGCGGGGAAACAGGACUGUUACUUUGAAAAAAUUAGAGUGUUUAAAGCAAGCUGACGCUUGAAUACAUUAGCAUGGAAUAAUGAAAUAGGACGAUCGAUCCUAUUUUGUUGGUUUCUAGGAUUGACGUA
rnacentral:rRNA from 1 species